rnacentral:lncRNA from 1 species
AGUAACUCUCCCGACUCUGCGCUGCUAUACAUGUAUAAAUUGGGUCACUAUGAAUGGUACAAAGACAAUACAUAUUGCUCCAGAAAACACCUCGUUGUUCUAACUUCUUCAUGGUAUCAGAGCCAUACCGGGCUCUUUAAACAUUCGGCCACACCCCUCCAUCUCCAGCAAUUUCUUCCUCUUCUCUAUUUCAAUGACUGCAGAAAAUACUCAAGCUGCCAUCCUUAAUAUUCAGGAACCCACUAAUCCCUUAAUCAUGAUCACCAUCCACAACUCAAUCAAACUUACCCCC